AUAAACGUUUUGCUUUCAUUCAUUUUUAACGAAAUUCACGACUUUUGAUUAUGAGUUCUCUUCAUUAUCAUUAUCACAUGCAAUUUGCAUUUGCGAUAAUUUCUUGGAGCUAACUUUUGCUUUUGCUGCGU